CAGCGAUAAUAGCAAACCAGGUGAAAACCUGGGACGCAAAGUACUGGGUCUAAGGCUAUGUGCAGCCGUGAUCGAUAAAGUCCACAAUGACUGCCUGUUGGAAUA
rnacentral:ncRNA from 1 species